AUUAAAGUUGUUGCAAUUAAAAAGCUCGUAGUUGGACUUGUGUGCGCUGUCCGCGGGUGGCCUGCGCCCAAAAGGGCGUUUUCGGUUCGGCCCCGGUGGCGCCUUGAAAUCUGCAGCUGGGGGGACGUUGGCCUUAACUGGUCGGCGACCGCACGCCGGCUGCUCGGUUACUGUGAGAAAAUUAGAGUGUUCAAGGCAGGCAUUGGGUGCAAUUGAAUACAUUAGCAUGGAAUAAUAAAAUAUGGCUCCUGCCGUAUUUUGUUGGUUUUGACUGGUGGGAGUAAUGAUUGAUAGGGACGGUUGGGGGUGCUAGUAUUGAGCGGCCAGAGGUGAAAUUCAUGGAUUCGCUCAAGACUAACUUAUGCGAAAGCAUUCACCAAGGACGUCCUCUUUAAUCAAGAACGAAAGUUGGGGGAUCGAAGACGAUCAGAUACCGUCGUAGUCUCAACCAUAAACUAUGUCGACUUGGGAUCGGCGGUAGUUUUUUCAUUAAGACACUGUCGGGACCACGGGAGAAAUCAAAGUGUCUGGACUCUGGGGGAAGUAUGGUCGCAAGGCUGAAACUUGAAGGAAUUGACGGAAGGGCACCACCAGGAGUGGAGCCUGCGGCUUAAUUUGACCCAACACGGGGAAACUUACCAGGUCCAGAGAUGUAGAGGAUUGACAGAUUGAAGCUCUUUCUUGAUCACUUCGGUGGUGGUGCAUGGCCGUUCUUAGUUGGUGGAGUGAUUUGUCUGUUAAUUCCGUUAACGAACGAGACCUCAGCCUGCUAGUGUAGUCGGCUGGAUUGCCUUUGGCGAUCCGUGAUUUCGACUUCUUAGAGGGACAAUCGACGCGCAGUCGAUGGAAGUUUGAGGCAAUAACAGGUCUGUGAUGCCCUUAGAUGUUCUGGGCCGCACGCGCGCUACACUGCUGGGCUCAGCGAGUUUUACUUGGCCGAGAGGCCCGGUUAAUCUUGUGAAAUCCCAGCGUGCUUGGGCUCGCCUCCUGCAACUGGAGGCGCCAACGAGGAAUUCCUAGUAGACGCAGGUCAUCAACCUGCAUCGAUUACGUCCCUGCCCUUUGUACACACCGCCCGUCGUUCCAUAAGAGUGAGGCAUCCGGUGAAUUCUCGGGAGAGCCUGGGCGUGGCCAGCAAUGGUCUGCUCGGGUUUGAACUUGCAUAAACUUGGUGCCUAUGAUUAGGG
rnacentral:rRNA from 1 species